rnacentral:tRNA from 1 species
AAAGGGAGACCUAAUUCAGGUAGGAGACGAAAAAAAAGUAGUCCCAACCAAGAAUCAAUCCCAAAAGGUCGGAGCGAGGUAUGAGGCUUUCAAACUAGGUUCUGGGUUCAUAAAAGACCUGAAUCAGGAACAAGGGCUAUUAGCUCAGGUGGUUAGAGCGCACCCCUGAUAAGGGUGAGGUCCCUGGUUCGAGUCCAGGAUGGCCCACCUGCACAGGUGGCAAAACCAAAGAAAAGAAGCUCCGAAUCAGCACCUUAUCUUACUUAUAUAGUAAGAGAGAAUGCUGGCUCUGAGUUCAGAGUCCAGAGGAACCUUGAAAACUGCAUAGAGCUAGGUGAAAAAGCCAAAAAAGAAGACCGCAAG